UUUUUCCCAAACUCUCUCUCUCUUUCUCGGUUCGUUUUUGAAUGAAGAAGACUGAUGAGUUCUUCGACGAUCGGUGAGGAAAAUUCAUGGAAUGAAACUAGUACAAUCGGCUAGGGUUUCUUCUGAUGAUUUAGAAACUGCGACGGAGGGUUUCGGGAUGUUUACGGGAGAGAAUCUUAACCGGAGAGGUUGAGAUCGCAAGGAGACUUUGCGAUGAUGGUGUAGGAUCGUCUUAGAAGAGAUCGAUGGGAGAGAGAAGCGAAGCGUUCUGAUUAUUUAUGUUUUCUUGAUUUGGGGUUAAUGUUUUUGGGGGUUCGUUGAAAGAGAAGAAGAAGAUUUAGCGGUUCCUGUUUGAUUCGCGGCUCUGAAUGUGAGGGAAAAGAUACUAAGUCUGUUGGUCAUAAACAUGGCAAGAAGUUUUUGGUGGUAGUUACUCGUUAUCCUGAAGUCAGUAUGUUAACACUGUUGGCUGGAAUUGAGCGUUUCCACCUCAGAUAAAGAUGUUGCCUAUUCAGGUUCUUAAAGCGCUGAGGAGUGAGGAAUCAGUUCAUGUUUUGAUGGACAUCCCAUGGGAAUCCCGAUGUAAGCAUUAAUAGAUGGAACUGCUGGUUUUCUUUCAAGUGUGGAAGCCCAUUGCACUCAUUGCUCCAUCAGAUGAAGAUGUUGCUUCUAGCUUCAGUUUUUUUAAGCCUGGCAGAGAUUCAAAGCCCUGAGGAAUCAGUUGAUGUUUUGAUGGGCAUGCAUGGAGCAAUUGAUCCCAAGAAUCCUCGAGUCUGCUGGAAUUGAGGCUUUCCACCUCAUAAUCACUCUGCCCAUUGCACUCAUUGCUCCAUCAGAUGAAGAUGUUGCUGUUCAGGCAAGGAAAUGGUUCUUCGAGCCUCAGUUUCUUUUAGCCUAGAAGAGAUUCAAAGUGCUGGAACGAUCUAUUCACUUUGUGCAUUCAAUCUCUAAACGUCAAAAAAGGAUUUCAGCCUGAUUCUUCUUUCACGAGGUACUUCUCUGUCUUUCCCGUUUUGUUUGUGUUUUUGAGUUUUCAGAGGAUUGAAAUUUGAAGAAAAACGAUUAAUCAAAGUCUGAUGAGAUCAAUUGUUUCUUUAUUCAAGCAAUUGACUUCUGUAUCAUCGUGAUUUUUCGAAGUUUUGCUUUUGUUUUUGUUUUUGUCUUUAAAACCCCAAAAAAGAUCAUGGGCAGACACUAAUCUAAUAGUGUUCUGUCAGAUUCUAUUUUGGGGAUAUUGGCCCGAGAAAGUUGUCAACUAUUGAUUGGCUUGGUAGUGCAUGCACGUUGGGGGUUGGAAAAGAGAUUUCGGAUUGUUGGAUGGGAAUGCCAUAUGGCUUAAAAAGUCUUAAGACAAAGACUGAAUAGAACAAAAGAGUUCUUUAAAUUUGUUGGAUGGGAAUGGUAUGGCUUAAAGAGUCUUAAGACAAAGACUGAAUAGAACCAAAGAGUUCUCACAAAAGUUACCCUCGGCUUUGGAAAAUCAUAAGACAAAAAAGUCUGAAGACUUUGGUACCCACGGCUUGUUGGAUGGGAAUUACAAAUGGCUUAAAGAGUCUUAAGACAAAGACUGAAAAUCAUAAGACAAAAGAGUCUAAAGACUUUGGUACCCACGGCUUGUCGGAUGGGAAUAAUAUAUGGCUUUAAAGAGUCUUAAGA